rnacentral:rRNA from 1 species
GACGAACGCUGGCGGCGUGCUUAACACAUGCAAGUCGAACGGAAAGGCCCUGCUUUUGUGGGGUGCUCGAGUGGCGAACGGGUGAGUAACACGUGAGUAACCUGCCCUUGACUUUGGGAUAACUUCAGGAAACUGGGGCUAAUACCGGAUAGGAGCUCCUGCUGCAUGGUGGGGGUUGGAAAGUUUCGGCGGUUGGGGAUGGACUCGCGGCUUAUCAGCUUGUUGGUGGGGUAGUGGCUUACCAAGGCUUUGACGGGUAGCCGGCCUGAGAGGGUGACCGGCCAACUUGGGAAUGGAAUACCGCCCAGGCUCCCAGGGGGGGGAGGCGGGGGGAAAUUUGGCAAAUGGGGGGAAGGCUGGUUGAACAACGGCGCGGGGGGGAUUGAGGCCUUCGGGUUGGAAAACGCUUUCGCCUGUGAAGAAGGGGGGGGGACGGGAAUGGGUAAAGAAGCACCGGCUAACCACG